GUGCCAGCCGCCGCGGUAAGACAGAGGGGGCAAGCGUUGCUCGGAAUUACUGGGCGUAAAGGGCGCGUAGGCGGGAUGGCAAGUCAGUCGUGAAAUCCCUGGGCUCAACUUAGGGGGGUCGGCUGAUACUGCCGUUCUUGAGGGAUGCAGAGGAGACUGGAAUUCCCGGUGUAGCGGUGAAAUGUGUAGAGAUCGGGAGGAACACCGGUGGCGAAGGCGGGUCUCUGGGCAUUCCCUGACGCUGAGGCGCGAAAGCGUGGGGAGCAAACGGGAUUAGAAACCCUGGUAGUCC
rnacentral:rRNA from 1 species